UACGAAGGGGGCUAGCGUUGCUCGGAAUCACUGGGCGUAAAGCGCACGUAGGCGGAUUGCUAAGUCAGGGGUGAAAUCCUGGAGCUCAACUCCAGAACUGCCUUUGAUACUGGCGAUCUUGAGUCCGGGAGAGGUGAGUGGAACUGCGAGUGUAGAGGUGAAAUUCGUAGAUAUUCGCAAGAACACCGAUGGCGAAGGCAGUUCUCUGGGCCGUAACUGACGCUGAGGAGCGAAAGCGUGGGGAGCGAACAGG
rnacentral:rRNA from 1 species